rnacentral:lncRNA from 1 species
AGAAGAUUUGCAAGCAAGACUCUGAUUCUUGUCAUAGAGCUCACAGACUUCCUCACUUACCGGCCUUUUUCCUUCCUUUUUUUUUUUUUUUUUUUUAAAUUUCUUCCCUCUUUUUCUGCUCUCUCCUCUCUCAGUUUCUCCUUUCCUGUCUGCCUCGUUUUUUUUUCUCCUGGUCUUCUUUUUUUUCCUGCUCUGCACCUGGAUUGUAUCUUCACCAAACAAUCGGGCACUUUGAGAACUAACUGGAGGCAGUCUUGUAGGGAAGAGCUGUAUGGAAUUAUCUGCUUUUAUGGUGAACUUGGCAUUUGUGAAUGGGUAUCUUGUUCACGAAAUUAAUUGCUAGCAAAAACAAGAAAAAGAACACAGGAGUAAAACGUGGAUUUUUCUGAAUACGCAUUGUGAUGACCAGCAAUUACCUUACCGACUGAUAUCCAGAGGAGAAUAAUUUGGAAGACUGUUGUGGAAAAAACGGCUUCAAUAGACAGCAAUUUAGAUGCUAAUGUAGAGAUGGGGCUGUGGAGGACAUACUUUUAUUCCAGUUGGAU